rnacentral:rRNA from 1 species
AUUCCAGCUCCAAUAGCGUAUAUUAAAGUUGUUGCAGUUAAAAAGCUCGUGGUUGGAUUUCUAGCGGACGCGACUGGUCUGCCCCGCAAGGGGUUUGUACUGAGUUGUCGUCUGUCAUCCUUGAGAAGAGCGGCCCUGGCAUUCAUUUGUCGGGGUCGGGAUUCUCAUCGUUUACUGUGAAAAAAUUAGAGUGUUCAAAGCAAGCUUAGGCUCUGAAUAUAUUAGCAUGGAAUAAUAAGAUAGGACCUUGGUGGUUUAUUUUGUUGGUUUGCACGCCGAGGUAAUGAUUAAUAGGGAUAGUUGGGGGUAUUCGUAUUCAAUUGUCAGAGGUGAAAUUCUUGGAUUUAUGGAAGACGAACUACUGCGAAAGCAUUUACCAAGGAUGUUUUCAUCA